rnacentral:rRNA from 1 species
AUUGAACGCUGGCGGCGUGCCUAACACAUGCAAGUCGAGCGGUAACAGGUGUAGCAAUACAUGCUGACGAGCGGCGAACGGGUGAGUAAUGCUUUGGAAUCUUCCCAGUAGUGGGGAAUAACCAGUCGAAAGAUUGGCUAAUACCGCAUACGUCUGUAAAGGGAAAGCGGGGGCUCGUAAGACCUCGCGCUAUUGGAUGAGCCAAAGUCGGAUUAGCUAGUUGGUGGGGUAAUGGCCUACCAAGGCGACAAUCCGUAGCUGGUCUGAGAGGACGACCAGCCACACCGGAACUGAGACACGGUCCGGACUCCUACGGGAGGCAGCAGUGGGGAAUAUUGGACAAUGGGGGAAACCCUGAUCCAGCGACGCCGCGUGUGAAGAAGGCCUGCGGGUUGUAAAGCACUUUUAGUGGGGACAAAAAGCUACGGAUUAAUACUCUGUGGUCUUGAUUUAACCCAAAGAAAAAGCACCGGCUAACUCUGUGCCAGCAGCCGCGGUAAUACAGAGGGUGCGAGCGUUAAUCGGAAUUACUGGGCGUAAAGCGCGCGUAGACGGUUUUGUAAGUCAGAUGUGAAAUCCCUGGGCUCAACCUGGGAACUGCAUUUGAGACUGCAUGGCUAGAGUAUCGAAGAGGGAAGUGGAAUUUCCGGUGUAGCGGUGAAAUGCGUAGAUAUCGGAAGGAACACCAGUGGCGAAAGCGACUUCCUGGUCGAAUACUGACGUUCAUGUGCGAAAGCGUGGGGAGCAACAGGAUUAGAUACCCUGGU